rnacentral:lncRNA from 10 species
GUGAUCCUUAUCUAAAUGGUUUAUGGUAAAUCCCAAGCAUCUGUAUUUUAUAAAAGACCCCAAGUAAUUGUAAUUAUUAUCCAGUUUUGAGAACCACUCUAAGACCUCAAGAAAUUAAAUACAUGCACAAGCAUACACAUGCAUGCACACACAUGCACACACACAAUGUAACAUCUCAGACAGUCUGCAGCAGCUAUGGCCCCAGUAGAGAGAAACACCAAUCAGAUGAUAAAAGGAAGAAAAUGUUACUGAACUGGCCCUCAACAAACAACAUGGACCUUGCUCAAUGACCAGCGAAAGUCAAGGAUAUGAGAAGUGUCAUUUACACCUUUGAUUUAACUGCCCACUGAGCUGCAUUUCUUUAUUUGCUUGCAGCCUUUUUCAGUUUCAAGCAGGUUCCAUUGAGAGGCAUCUAGCAACUCUGGAUACAUCAACAACCUUGAUUCACCUUCAAGGAACAUUACCUAGAAAACACUAUAAAGUGUGGCUGUGAUGCAUGGAGACCAGCAACCCCAAGUCAUACCCUUCACUGUGGAAGAAUUGGGCAAAUAAAAAGGCCAUGUUGUAAAGAUGGAAUCACAAGAUGGCACCUGCUUGGAUUCCUAAGUCACUCCCUACUGGAAGGAGGCUUUCCUGGAGACUCUCUAGAACUGCAGCAGACCUUAUAUGGAAAUAACAGAACAUAGAAACAAGGAGAGAUGUACAGUGCUAUUCACUUGCAAAAUUCUUCGUGAACCUCCCUGCUUCUUCAGCAGAGGGCACUCUGCAAUGAAAAGUGCUUGGAAGCCGAGGAUGCUAUCUUUGCAAUGUAAUAUCCAAGAAUACAGUCACAAUGUAACAUCGAGAAUACAGCAAAAGAACUGCCUUCCCACUUUAACUUGUCUAUCUAUGGGAAACUCGAACGGUCAUGCUAUGGUGCUUAGAUAGGGGUGAAUACACACCUAUUCAUGAUUAGUUUGUAGCUCACUCUCCACCUCAGUGUUAUCCAAACUACCCAAGCUGCCUUCUUCCUUCUUGGUCUAUCAUGAGGAUCUAUAUGUAGCAAAGCGAUCAAUCCUAUGAAUGCUGAGAAAUCACUACAAAUUGCUGAAAAUAUCAAUGUUCUGGCAUGAAAACCCCUUAUUUAAAAAUUGACAGUUUCAAAUGGAAAACACUAUAGAAUUAAACCUUCCUUUCUGCUCCAAAACAAUACUGAAGGUAGAAUACCCCUUCCUUCUACUUUCCCAGCCCCAUUGCAUGAUUAUAGUUAUCAUGGUCCAGGAGCCUCAGUUGUCUAAACAGUUGGGACCAUAGAGAAUGCUGUAGAAAUGAAAGCAUAUUUAACAGAAUAGACUUUAACCAGGGCUCAGGUUCUGCCACUUAUUUAGCUUGCAAUUCCUUGGUUCCUUAUUGCCAAAUUAGUACAUAGCAGAUAUGAGAAACUAAAUGAGAUGAUGUAUGUCAAGCGUUCAGUGUUUGGUGUAGCAAGCACUCUGGACAUUUCAGCUCUUGUCAUCAUUAAUAAAAAUGGUAUUUCUCUG